AAAACUUUCAACAACGGAUCUCUUGGUUCCAGCAUCGAUGAAGAACGCAGCGAAAUGCGAUAACUAAUGUGAAUUGCAGAAUUCAGUGAAUCAUCGAGUCUUUGAACGCACAUUGCGCCCCUCGGUGUCCCGGGGGGCAUGCCUGUUCGAGCGUCAUUA
rnacentral:rRNA from 1 species